rnacentral:tRNA from 1 species
GAAAAUGAUGGUUUAAUCCCUUCCCUUAUUA